UCUCUUGCAGGGCCAGAGCCCGUGGCAGCCUGUUCCCAAAGCCCAGAGGAAGGCAGACAGCUAUAAUCAUUUGGCAAACUAAGGUUACCACUGCUUCUAAGACAUAACAUGCUUGAAUUUAACAAACGUGUGCAAAUGAUAAUCUUGAAAUUUCAACUAAGGAUUCUAGGCUGGAUCAAUAUUGUCACAGAAUCACAGUUUUUGGAAGGUAGUUAGAUCUUCUAUACAUUGACAAUUAAUUUUCUUUCUCAACAGAACUGCAAACCAAUUCCCAAUUAAUGAAUUUGCUGAGUAGUUCCUCCCCAAGGAGAGUCAGUCUGGCAGAGACAUUCAGCUCUAGCUGAGGCCAGGCUAGAUCUGUUGGACCAGAGUCGACCUGCAGACCUGUGAACAUGAGCAUAAGUGUUCGCUGAGAGCCAAGGAGUUUUGGUGUGGUUUGUUACAAAGCUUUGUCCAGGCAGCAGCUGACUGAUUCCUGCCCUGGCAGAAAACUGGAGCACCCAUCUCUUUAUGUAGAGGCCAGUGUCCACAUCCUGCUCACAUUUGGGACAUCUGUGAGGCAGGGUGCCUCCUUUUUGUCCCUCCAAGAGGACAGUUGGGGGACUUGGCCUCUGGCCGCCUCAAGUUGGGUCAGCACCUGCUGGGCCUCAUCCUGGUUCAUCGUGCAUCAAUGGGAGCGCACCUGGGUUCUGCUGACAUGUGAGAGCUUCUUCACCGAGGGGUUCAGAAAAGUGUGCUCAUGGCCUGUAGAUCUGGAUUCAAAGGGAGAUGAGAAAAAUAGGAACUGAGCCCGUGGCUUGCCUCACCCACUUCCUGAGCCUGCGCAAGGGACAAGACUUUCCUGUGUGGCCUUCUUACGGCAGUCCACAGGGAAGUGGCCUCAUUUUCUGUGUCUGUCCUGCCCAGCGCCCCCACUCUCCUGUGCUGGUCCCAGGCCAUCCCUUAGCCAGAGUGCAGAACUCCAGACCCCCAAUAUUCUCUCAUAUCCUCAGAAUCUUCAGCUUCCAUCCAUGGAUGUUGGCUGAAUCCUGAGUGGGGUCGUAGAAAGAUCUGGUCCUGUGAGUAGGGGGGCGAGGAGGAAGGCAGGGACUUCAGCUGGGCUGUCUACAACCUGAGUCUAAAACACCUAAAGACAAGCACAACUUGCCCCCGCUAGGACGAAUUUCUUGCUCCAGACCGCCUCACUGCAUCUCUAGGGCCAUGUGUAUUCCUGCUAUUUGGCCACAUUCCUUGAGAAAAAUUGCCUAUUAAAAGAAUUUC
rnacentral:lncRNA from 10 species